GAUAUAUUGGUGCCCUGAGAGCAUCACAUAACAACCACAUCCCUCCUCUAAAGAAGUCCCUGGGAGCACAGCUCAUCACCAUGGACUGGACCUGGAGGCUCCUCUUUGUGGUGGCAGCAGCUACAGGUGCCCAGUCCCAGGUCCAGCUGGUGCAGUCCGGGGCUGAGGUGAAGAAGCCUGGGGCCUCAGUGAAGGUCUCCUGCAAGGCUUCUGGAUUCACCUUCGGCAGCUAUGCUAUCAGCUGGGUGCGACAGGCCCCUGGACAAGGGCUUGAGUGGAUGGGAUGGAUCAUCCUGUCGGCUGGUAUAACAAACUACGCACAGAAGUUCCAGGGCAGAGUCACGAUUACCGCGGACACGUCCACGAGCACAGCCUACAUGGAGCUGAGCAGCCUGAGAUCCGAGGACACGGCCGUGUAUUACUGUGGGGGAGGCACAGGGAGUUGCACCAGGAACUCACGAAGGAUCAGGGAGAAUUCUGAGAACACCCUGCUGCGGUGCUGCUGAGAGGGGAAGAAUAAAUAUGAAAAAAUACAACUCUGAGUAACGUAUGGACAUUCGUUCAUGAAAACUCUUUUUCUGAAAGCUUGUGAAGGUCUUGAAAUGCCCCCGAUUAGCUGAGGACAAACAUUUGAACCCUCCUUCCACAAAGAGUUCAAGCAGGCUGGAUGUGUCCUUCUAUGAGUGAUCUUCCCCAGCCCCUUCCUCUUCCCAGCUCAUCCCUGGCUCUCUGUGUAAACAGUGCUCAUCAGUGGAAUGUGGUUGAUGAAGUGAAGUCUUCAAUUUUCUCAUCUUCUGUGUGGUCAUGUUGUUUUUUUCAUCUGAGGUUUAAAAACUCACCUGCAAGCAGCACCUGACAGCUUAAAAUCUCUUGUGGACAAAACAGUAAGUAACAAAGGCACCCACCAGGGCUGAGCAUCCCGUGUUGCUGACAGCGACCACCAGGAGUCAACGUCCUCCUCACAAUCCUGUGUCAGAGCAUCCCCUGAGUGAUUUCAUUAGCAACUUCCCAGGAGAAUCAGCUUAAAACUACUUGUCCCAUUUUCCAUAGAGAUAUAACUCGUUCCUUUUCCUGAAGAAAUAGAGCUGAAUACUAAAUACACUGAAUGAUGUUUUUGCUUGUUUUGCAAGUUUGUGACUUUAUCACUUUCUAAUUUCUGAGUUACGUGGAUCACUCUACAUAUUUCUGUCACGGGUGUGAGCAGCCUUCUGGAUGUCAAAUAUAAUUGACUUUCUUCAUGUAAAAGUGAACACAAGCUCCUCACGUCUUCUGUGCUCACUGACAAUUCUCAACUCAC